rnacentral:rRNA from 1 species
UGCGCAGGCGGGCUUGUAAGUCAGUGGUGAAAUACUGCCGCUUAACGGUAGAACUGCCAUUGAUACUGCAAGUCUUGAAUAUGGUUGAGGUAGGCGGAAUGUGUCGUGUAGCGGUGAAAUGCAUAGAUAUGACACAGAACGCCGAUUGCGAAGGCAGCUUACUAAGCCAUUAUUGACGCUGAGGCACGAAAGCGUGGGGAGCGAACAGGAUUAGAUACCCUGGUAGUC